rnacentral:rRNA from 1 species
UACGUAGGUGGCAAGCGUUGUCCGGAUUUAUUGGGUUUACAGGGUGCGUAGGCGGUCCUAUAAGUCCGUUGUGAAAUACGGCAGCUUAACUGUCGAGGUGCAAUUGAUACUGCAGGACUUGAGUACAGACGAGGUAGGCGGAAUUGACGGUGUAGCGGUGAAAUGCUUAGAUAUCGUCAAGAACACCGAUAGCGAAGGCAGCUUACUAGACUGUAACUGACGCUGAUGCACGAAAGUGUGGGGAUCAAACAGG